CAUGCAGUCGAGGGGUAACAGGAAAAAGCUUGCUUUUUUGCUGACGACCGGCGCACGGGUGCGUAACGCGUAUACAAUCUACCGCUUACUGGAGGAUAGCCCAGAGAAAUCUGGAUUAAUACUCCAUAGUAUAUAGAAGAGGCAUCUUUUUUAUAUUAAAGGCUACGGUAAGUGAUGAGUAUGCGUCCUAUUAGCUAGUUGGUAUGGUAACGGCAUACCAAGGCGACGAUAGGUAGGGGCCCUGAGAGGGGGAUCCCCCACACUGGUACUGAGACACGGACCAGACUCCUACGGGAGGCAGCAGUGAGGAAUAUUGGACAAUGGGCGGAAGCCUGAUCCAGCCAUGCCGCGUGCAGGAAGACUGCCCUAUGGGUUGUAAACUGCUUUUAUACCGGAAGAAACCUUUCCACGUGUGGGAAGCUGACGGUACUGUAAGAAUAAGCAUCGGCUAACUCCGUGCCAGCAGCCGCGGUAAUACGGAGGAUGCAAGCGUUAUCCGGAGUCAUUGGGUUUAAAGGGUCCGUAGGUGGACAGAUAAGUCAGAGGUGAAAUCCUGCAGCUCAACUGUAGAAUUGCCUUUGAUACUGUUUGUCUUGAGUCAUUAUGAAGUGGUUGGAAUGAGUAGUGUAGCGGUGAAAUGCAUAGAUAUUACUCAGAACACCGAUUGCGAAGGCAGAUCACUAAUAAUGUACUGACACUGAUGGACGAAAGCGUGGGGAGCGAACAGGAUUANAUACCCUGGUAGUCCACGCCGUAAACNAUGGUCACUAGCUGUGUGGAUUUCGGUCUGCGUGGCUAA
rnacentral:rRNA from 1 species